GACGAACGCUGGCGGCGUGCUUAACACAUGCCAGUCGAACGGAAAGGCCCUGCUUUUGUGGGGUGCUCGAGUGGCGAACGGGUGAGUAACACGUGAGUAACCUGCCCUUGACUUUGGGAUAACUUCAGGAAACUGGGGCUAAUACCGGAUAGGAGCUCCUGCUGCAUGGUGGGGGUUGGAAAGUUUCGGCGGUUGGGGAUGGACUCGCGGCUUAUCAGCUUGUGGGUGGGGUAGUGGCUUACCAAGGCUUUGACGGGUAGCCGGCCUGGGAGGGUGACCGGCCACAGCGGGGCGGGGAGCGCGCCAGAGCUCAGAGGGGGGGCAGCAGUGGGAAGUAGUGAACCGUGGGCGGAAGCCUGCGGGAGCACCGCCGCUGGCGGUACGGCGCCCUGGUGGUGUGAACCCGCUUUCCCUUGUGACGAAGAGUGGGUGAGGGGAGGGGGAAAAGAAGCACCUGCUAACUACGCGCCAGCGGCCGGGGAAAUAAGAGGAAGCCCACACGCCUGACC
rnacentral:rRNA from 1 species